ensembl:lncRNA
GGGGGAUAUCUGUGUGUGCAGGUGACUAUUACUGUGCAUAAUUAUUAGGCAACUUAACGAAAAACAAAUAUAUACCCAUUUCAAUGAUUUAUUUUUCCCAGUGAAACCAAUAUAACAUCUCCACAUUCACAAAUAUACAUUUCUGACAUUCAAAAACCAAACAAAAACAAAUCAGCGACCAAUAUAGCCACCUUUCUUUGCAAGGACACUCAAAAGCCUGCCAUCCAUGGAUUCUGUCAGUGUUUUGAUCUGUUCACCAUUAACAUUGCGUGCAGCAGCAACCACAGCCUCCCAGACACUGUUCAGAGAGGUGUACUGUUUUCCCUCCUUGUAAAUCUCACAUUUGAUGAUGGACCACAGGUUCUCAAUGGGGUUCAGAUCAGGUGAACAAGGAGGCCAUGUCAUUAGUUUUUCUUCUUUUAUACCCUUUCUUGCCAGCCACGCUGUGGAGUACUUGGACGCGCGUGAUGGAGCAUUGUCCUGCAUGAAAAUCAUGUUUUUCUUGAAGGAUGCAGACUUCUUCCUGUACCACUGCUUGAAGAAGGUGUCUUCCAGAAACUGGCAGUAGGACUGGGAGUUGAGCUUGACUCCAUCCUCAAUCCGAAAAGGCCCCACAA